GACAGAGGAUGCAAGCGUUAUCCGGAAUGAUUGGGCGUAAAGCGUCUGUAGGUGGCUUUUUAAGUCCGCCGUCAAAUCCCAGGGCUCAACCCUGGACAGGCGGUGGAAACUACCAAGCUGGAGUACGGUAGGGGCAGAGGGAAUUUCCGGUGGAGCGGUGAAAUGCGUAGAGAUCGGAAAGAACACCAACGGCGAAAGCACUUUACUGGGCUAUUACUGACACUGAGAGACGAAAGCAGGGUAGCAAAUGGG
rnacentral:rRNA from 1 species